CCUGAUGACCAUAGUAAAUCGGUACCACCCCUUCCCAUCCCGAACAGGACCGUGAAACGAUUUUACGCCGAUGAUAGUGCUGCAACC
rnacentral:rRNA from 2 species